rnacentral:rRNA from 1 species
UACGUAGGGGUCGAGCGUUGUCCGGAGUUACUGGGCGUAAAGCGCGCGCAGGCGGCGCGAUAAGACCGGCGUGAAAGCCCCCGGCUCAACCUGGGAACUGCGUCCGAUACUGGAUGGCUUGAAUUCGGGAGAGGGAUGCAGAAUUCCAGGUGUAGCGGUGAAAUGCGUAGAUAUCUGGAGGAAUACCGGUGGCGAAGGCGGCAUCCUGGACCGACAUUGACGCUGAGGAGCGAAAGCUAGGGGAGCAAACGGG